AACAAUUAAAUGACCGACUUGCUUAUUAAUUGAAAUUCAAAUCAAGAUGGCAUAUAAAAAAACACAUUUAAACAACAUUUAAUUUGAAAGGAUCAUCAUAAUUACGAUAUUGUCGACAAUAAUUUAUAUAGUUUACAAAAAAUUCAGGGGCAAAUAUUUCCUACAUAUAUAAAGGACGAUAACCAAUCGAGAAUUAAAUUUAAGAAAGAGUUAAGAUACAAUGUGGAUCUACGGGAAUAAAAGUUGGAAAUUUUUGAUUGAAGUAGGACAUUUAGAACAAGCUAUGUUUGACAUGAUUGAUUUUGAUGUUCUCAAACUUUGGCGUCAUUCAUCCGUUAACGUUUACAAAAAUCUCUGCUUCUGAAACUACAGGGAUCAUUUGGAAUCAAACGUGGCCACAAUCAUCCAAGAGAAAGCAAAAGAUACAGCCAGGCAUGACAAAUAGAUAGAUUAUAAUGAAUUAAAACUGAUGGCUGGUGUAACUUUUCCUCAAAGAGCAAACGUGUUGAUAAUUGGUGAUUUCAAUGUUGGUAAAAGUACUUUAAUCAAUUAUCAACGGACAAAACGAUUUGAUGAUACAAUUGUUCCUACAAUAGAAAUUGAACCGAGUACAAUAAGUGUUACUGUAAAUGGUAAAGAUAUGAUUAUUACUGUGAAGGACUCUCCAGGUAUGAAAGAGGAUUCAAUAAAAUACGGGCGAUUUGUGUUUCCCGAAUUUCAGAACUGUGCAGUGAUCGUGUUCGUCUACGACAAGACACACAGACCCAGCUUUGAUCAGAUAACAUACUUAAAAAACAUGGUGGACGAAUUAGUUAAUCGUCGUAUGGAGUGUAUUCUUGUCGGAAAUAAAUGUGACAUAGCAAAGGACGACGAUGUUACAUUUGAGGAUGGCCACGAAAGAUGUGCUGAAUUAAAAAUGGAUUUGUUUAUUGAAAUAUCGGCAAAAAAAGGUACAAACGUGGAAGAACUCUUUCGGGAAGCAGCUUUGCGCUUGAAAGACAUGGAGCUUGAAUUUGGAUCCACAAAAGAACUACCUAAAAGUGAAAACACCCCAAAAAGCUGCCAAUGUUAAGGUAGCUUUGGUGUCCAAAUGUUGGAUGAUAGAUUUUUCUUUUACUUCUGUAAAGGAUUUCUUGGUCAAUGUAAUUUCAAUAAAAAUACUCGUUGAAAUUCACGAAAAAAUAGUUAUUUUGUAUGGAUUAUAGAUGGGAUAUAUUUUAAACCGAAACAGAAUUUUUGCAACAUGCCCAGAAAUAAUGCUCAGCAAAAUGUAUGCUAUCAAAAUACUAACCAAGUUAUUGCUGAAAAACAGGAUGUAAAUAGAGGCAACAGUAGGACCACAAUAAAAAAAACAAACAUGAUUUAGCUCAGGUGUACUGGAAGACUCUGCAGUUCAUGCUCCACUACUGACAUAUAUCAGUUAAUUCUUCAUUUUCGUAACUUAUGUGAAAAUAAUUAUAAUGUUUAUCAAAAUCAAAGUGUUUAUGAGUUCACAUCAGGUGAUUAUGUGUGUUUUUAAACAUAAAAUGUUAUUUGAUCAAAUGAAAACAUACUGCCAUAA